UUUCAGCCGUUGUCUGCUGGACCAUGCAUGCGCGGUGGCCAUCUUGCGGCUUUUCGCACCAUUUCUGGUCACGCGGUCCAGCUCCGCCAGUUCCUCCUGAUGGUCGAAGCCUGGAAGACAUAAACAGCUGACUCCGAAGAGGGAAGAAGGGCGGGUCGUGGAGCACCCAGGGGACAUACACCUCGAAGAACCAUUGUUACUGCACAAGGAGCAUGCUGUUAUGACAUUCCAUCACAGCUGUACAUACUUGAAUACCAAAAAAGAAACUGCAGCAGCCAGAAUUUGGAGCAGAUGGUAGAAGUUAAUUUUCAGACCCAGCCUUCUCUUCCACAACUAACUGGCUACCCCCUGAUGAACCAGAACAGCUUUAUCCAGAGUUACAUUGCAUGGCUUCCUGUGACUUAAAUACCCUUUACAGCCAGGGAAUACAGGUGUGACGUCCUCCAGCCCGCCUUUGACAACAGUUAUACAACGCCCGCUUGGGCCACAGAUCACACAGGCGUUCAG